rnacentral:tRNA from 1 species
AGGGGGUUAGCCAAGCGGUACGGCACUGGAUUUUGAUUCCAGCAUGCGUAGGUUCAAAUCCUACACCCUCUG